rnacentral:rRNA from 1 species
GACGAACGCUGGCGGCGUGCUUAACACAUUCAAGUCGAACGAAGUGGCGAACGGGUGAGUAACGCGUAAUCAACCUGCCCUUCAGAGGAGGACAACAGUUGGAAACGACUGCUAAUACCGCAUACUGAAGGAGGGGCUUGCGUCUGAUUAGCUAGUUGGAGGGGUAACGGCCAACCAAGGCGAUGCUCAGUAGCCGGGUGGGUAGGAUGAACGGCGCCAUUGGGAGUGAGACACGGCCCAGACGCUUACGGGAGGCAGCAGGGGGGAGUCUUCCGCAAUGGAAGAAAGUCUGACGGAGCAACGCCGCGUGAGUGAUGACGGCCUUGGGGUUGUAAAGCGCUGUUAAGCGGGACGCGGUACCGGAAUAGAAAGCCACGGCUAACUACGUGCCAGCAGCCGCGGUAAUUC